rnacentral:lncRNA from 1 species
CUCAGGUCUAUGUACUGUGGGCUUGUGGGUGAUAGAGCCAUGUGGGACAAGACUGAGGCAGAAUAGUGCUUAGCCAUGUGCAACCUCCUAACUAAGCCAAGCAUGGCAACCUUGCAUGAGCUCAGAACAUUGCUAGGUACAAGAGGAGUUCUCUUCUACUCCCUCAAUCACCGUGGGCUGCCCAAGUGGCUGCACUGGAACCUGAGAUCUGCCAACAUCUGCCUUUCGAAGUUGACCUGCUGUACCAUCAGUCUCUGCACCUUCUGGCUCUGGCUACAGAAUGCCAUGGUGGAAGUCACAAAGACCACACGAGGGGGAAGGUCGCCUCACACAUCGACCUGCAGAACUACUUUAAGAUUCUUCUUUGAAGUCUCUACAGGCUAACUUCACAACAGAUGAUAAUGUGAUGAAAUUCUUGACUCUCAACUGGUGAAGGACUUCAACUCCAGGCUAGCACCCUUCCCAUGGCCCCUUAAACGCCCUUCUUCCAUCCUGCCUCAGAGUGACCCAGGAAGCCAAACUCUCGGAGUUUUACUCCGG